rfam:Schistosoma mansoni, Puerto Rico, WGS project CABG01000000 data, contig: 0071
AUCCGGCUGGCGAGUCCCAUAUAGGACGAAACGUGCUUCCUGGAU